GGUGCAAACUUAAGCCGUUUGCGUCGCACUGGAGACCAGUGAUGUUAAUGACUAUCGCGGGAAUAGCCGAUGGAGAACAUAGCAGCAACGCGCUUUUCCUCAGAGAAUUAACAAGAAUGAAUCUCCUCAUUGCUGACCGACACAAUCAACAAACGCCACAAACGUCGCCACGGUAAACCCGUAGCUUUUAUGUGGGGUGACGCCAAAGGACAUUGGUCAAAAGCAUAAGAUUCAGUGCAUCGGCCACCAUCAGCCUAUCCGAACAUCCGAACAGACCAAGAAAGUGAUGAUUGACGUUCCGCCACAAGAUGGCGACAGAGACUGCUUAAUAAGUUCUUAGGGGAGAAAAACAGCAUUUUCUCAGCUCAAGUUUCAAACAACAGCUAAACAAAUCAUUAUAAAUCAGAAGACAGAGCUUGGCGCCAACCUUGGAGGCGACUGAUACUCUAUACUCACUAGGAGAAUGGAGGAGAAAGCCAUAAUUCUUGCGAUCACAUACGAUCAAAGUGUGGCCAGCUCUCAGGCAUCCACCCUCAGCGCCAUCCCCAUAAUUACUUUGAGUGGACUGCCGAUGACCCCACAUGGAUAAAAUUAUUGCGUCCACUAUUUUCUCCACAGCACUGAAUAGUCAACAAGAAAUGUGCAUGAAGCAAUAUGUUGUCUUGUGUUUUCUACCUCAAAGAAAAUUGUCCUGAUUUUGGUCUCAAGGCCUCCAUCUGAAAAUGACUUCAUUGUGGAAAAAUGGCUUUAUUAUAAGGCACCAAUCUUCAUUUGAUGGCAUUUUGUUGUCUUUGAAGAGAGCAGAUUCAUGUAUACAGAAGUAUGAGCAAAUUGCGCCACUUUUCUUUCAUUUUUUGGAACAAUUUUGAUAGAAUUAGAUUAAGAGCAUGACAUCUGUCUUAGCGAUGCAGACAUGUGGAUUACACUCAGCUGUGUUUGAGUAAACACAAAAAAAAUUACCAAGAUAUAUUCUAGAUCUGUUUGGAUCUUGGUGUCUUGUGUAUUUUGACUAUUUAAUGAAAAUAUUAAUAAAUACUUGAGACGGGG
rnacentral:lncRNA from 1 species